AUUGAACGCUGGCGGCAUGCUUUACACAUGCAAGUCGAACGGCAGCAUGAUCUAGCUUGCUAGAUUGAUGGCGAGUGGCGAAUGGGUGAGUAAUACAUCGGAACGUGCCCUGUAGUGGGGGAUAACUAGUCGAUAGAUUAGCUACUACCGCAUACGUCCUGAGGGUGAAAGUGGGGGACAGCAAGGCCUCAUGCUAUAGGAGCGGCCGGUGUCUGCUUCGAUAGUUGGUGAGGUAAAGGCUCACCAAGGCGACGAUCAGUCGCUGGUCGGAGAGGAGGGUCGGCGACACUGGAACUGAAACACGCACCAGACGCCUACGGGAGGCAGCAGUGGGCAAUGUGGGACAAUGGUCGAAAGCCUGAUCCAGCAAGGCCGCGUGUGUGAAAAAGGCCUUCGGGUUGUAAAGCACGUUUGUCCGGUGAGAAAUGGCUCUGGUUAAGACCUGGGGUCGAUGACGGUACCGGAAGAAGAAGGACCGGCUAACUACGUG
rnacentral:rRNA from 1 species